rnacentral:rRNA from 1 species
AACGAACGCUGGCGGCAGGCUUAAUACAUGCAAGUCGAGCGCCUGUAGCAAUACAGGAGCGGCGCACGGGUGCGUAACACGUGGGAAUAUGCCUUUUGGUACGGAACAACCACUGGAAACGGUGGCUAAUACCGUAUGGUCUUUCCGGGGUAAAGAUUUAUCGCCAAAAGAGUAGCCCGCGGCAGACUAGCUAGUUGGUGAGGUAAUGGCUCACCAAGGCGACGAUCUGUAGCUGGUCUGAGAGGACGAUCAGCCACACUGGGACUGAGACACGGCCCAGACUCCUACGGGAGGCAGCAGUAGGGAAUAUUGGACAAUGGGGGAAACCCGUGAUCCAGCCAUGCCGCGUGAGUGAUGAAGGCCUCGGUUGUAAGUACUCUUAUUCACGAAGAUAAUAGACUGUAGU